GCAAACCUUGCUGCAUGGAAGUAUGGGACUGAUCAGUGCUGCCGGGAUGAGGGAUCUGCGGAGGAGGAAAAAAGCAGGAAAAGAAAGUGAGGCCACAAGGAGUGGAACAGCAGUGUUGAGAGAAGGAAGUUCUGACUGAUUCAGCCAGGGUUACUUAGCCCAACCUACACUGAGCAAACAUCUGCAUUUCCUGGAGUGACCUAUGGAGAAUGGAGGGAUCAACUUUCUCUGCCUACCAUUAUGUAGGGACCACCACAUAAAUCUUCAUAACAGGAAAAUUAGGAACUUUCUCAGCAGCAUUCAGCUCCAGCAAGAGACACGUCAGGUCUAAAGGGACCAAACAUCUGAUCCUGACUCACCUUGUAAACAUGUAAUGGCCGAAGUGAAUAGUAUGUGCAAACUACUAAAACCUCCUAAAUGUGCAAAAAUGAAAGACAGAAAGCCAGUCAAGAGCACAGGUAACACCUUAAAACCUUGGUUCAAUCACA